ACCCGUCUAGCUCAGUCGGUAGAGCGCUGGCCUUUUAAGCCAGUGGUCGUGGGUUCGAGUCCCACGGGGGGUG
rnacentral:tRNA from 1 species